GCGGUGGAGCAUGUGGUUUAAUUCGAAGCAACGCGAAGAACCUUACCAGGUCUUGACAUCCAGGUAAAACUUGAGAGAUCAAGUGUGCCUUCGGGCAAUCUGAGACAGGUGGUGCAUGGUUGUCGUCAGCUCGUGUCGUGAGAUGUUGGGUUAAGUCCCGCAACGAGCGCAACCCUUGCUGAUAAUUACUAACGCGUGAUGGCGAGGACUUUAUUGGGACUGCCGGGGACAACUCGGAGGAAGGUGGGGACGACGUCAAAUCAUCAUGCCCCUUAUGACCUGGGCUACACACGUGCUACAAUGGCCGAGACAGAGAGAAGCGAGGGCGCAAGCCGGAGCGGAUCUGCCAAAAGCGGUCACAGUUCAGAUUGUGGGCUGCAACCCGCCCACAUGAAGCAGGAGUUGCUAGUAAUCGCGGAUCAGCAUGCCGCGGUGAAUGCGUUCCCGGGUCUU
rnacentral:rRNA from 1 species